GACGUAGGGGGCCAGCGUUGUUCGGAAUUACUGGGUGGAAAGGGUUCGUAGGCGGUGUAGCAAGUCGGGAGUGAAAUCUCUGGGCUUAACCCAGAGGCUGCUUCCGAAACUGCUGUGCUUGAGUGUGGGAGAGGCGCGUGGAAUUGCAGGUGUAGCGGUGAAAUGCGUAGAUAUCUGCAGGAACACCCGUGGCGAAAGCGGCGCGCUGGACCACUACUGACGCUGAGGAACGAAAGCAUGGGGAGCGAACAGG
rnacentral:rRNA from 1 species